rnacentral:rRNA from 1 species
AACGUAGGACACAAGCGUUAUCCGGAGUUACUGGGCGUAAAGGGCGUGUAGGCGGACCUAUAAGUCUAUUCUGAAAGCUCCUGGCUAAACUGGGAGAGGCGAAUGGAGACUGUAGAUCUAGAGUGAGGAAGAGGAAAGUGGAAUUCCGCGUGUAGUGGUGAAAUGCGUUGAGAUCGGAAGGAACGCCCGUGGCGAAAGCGAGGCCCUGGACCCUUUCUG